GGGUUGUGAGGUUAAGCGACUAAGCGUACACGGUGGAUGCCCUGGCAGUCAGAGGCGAUGAAGGACGUGCUAAUCUGCGAUAAGCGUCGGUAAGGUGAUAUGAACCGUUAUAACCGGCGAUUUCCGAAUGGGGAAACCCAGUGUGUUUCGACACACUAUCAUUAACUGAAUCCAUAGGUUAAUGAGGCGAACCGGGGGAACUGAAACAUCUAAGUACCCCGAGGAAAAGAAAUCAACCGAGAUUCCCCCAGUAGCGGCGAGCGAACGGGGAGCAGCCCAGAGCCUGAAUCAGUGUGUGUGUUAGUGGAAGCGUCUGGAAAGGCGCGCGAUACAGGGUGACAGCCCCGUACACAAAAAUGCACAUGCUGUGAGCUCGAUGAGUAGGGCGGGACACGUGGUAUCCUGUCUGAAUAUGGGGGGACCAUCCUCCAAGGCUAAAUACUCCUGACUGACCGAUAGUGAACCAGUACCGUGAGGGAAAGGCGAAAAGAACCCCGGCGAGGGGAGUGAAAAAGAACCUGAAACCGUGUACGUACAAGCAGUGGGAGCACGCUUAGGCGUGUGACUGCGUACCUUUUGUAUAAUGGGUCAGCGACUUAUAUUCUGUAGCAAGGUUAACCGAAUAGGGGAGCCGAAGGGAAACCGAGUCUUAACUGGGCGUUAAGUUGCAGGGUAUAGACCCGAAACCCGGUGAUCUAGCCAUGGGCAGGUUGAAGGUUGGGUAACACUAACUGGAGGACCGAACCGACUAAUGUUGAAAAAUUAGCGGAUGACUUGUGGCUGGGGGUGAAAGGCCAAUCAAACCGGGAGAUAGCUGGUUCUCCCCGAAAGCUAUUUAGGUAGCGCCUCGUGAAUUCAUCUCCGGGGGUAGAGCACUGUUUCGGCAAGGGGGUCAUCCCGACUUACCAACCCGAUGCAAACUGCGAAUACCGGAGAAUGUUAUCACGGGAGACACACGGCGGGUGCUAACGUCCGUCGUGAAGAGGGAAACAACCCAGACCGCCAGCUAAGGUCCCAAAGUCAUGGUUAAGUGGGAAACGAUGUGGGAAGGCCCAGACAGCCAGGAUGUUGGCUUAGAAGCAGCCAUCAUUUAAAGAAAGCGUAAUAGCUCACUGGUCGAGUCGGCCUGCGCGGAAGAUGUAACGGGGCUAAACCAUGCACCGAAGCUGCGGCAGCGACGCUGAUGCGUUGUUGGGUAGGGGAGCGUUCUGUAAGCCUGCGAAGGUGUGCUGUGAGGCAUGCUGGAGGUAUCAGAAGUGCGAAUGCUGACAUAAGUAACGAUAAAGCGGGUGAAAAGCCCGCUCGCCGGAAGACCAAGGGUUCCUGUCCAACGUUAAUCGGGGCAGGGUGAGUCGACCCCUAAGGCGAGGCCGAAAGGCGUAGUCGAUGGGAAACAGGUUAAUAUUCCUGUACUUGGUGUUACUGCGAAGGGGGGACGGAGAAGGCUAUGUUGGCCGGGCGACGGUUGUCCCGGUUUAAGCGUGUAGGCUGGUUUUCCAGGCAAAUCCGGAAAAUCAAGGCUGAGGCGUGAUGACGAGGCACUACGGUGCUGAAGCAACAAAUGCCCUGCUUCCAGGAAAAGCCUCUAAGCAUCAGGUAACAUCAAAUCGUACCCCAAACCGACACAGGUGGUCAGGUAGAGAAUACCAAGGCGCUUGAGAGAACUCGGGUGAAGGAACUAGGCAAAAUGGUGCCGUAACUUCGGGAGAAGGCACGCUGAUAUGUAGGUGAAGCGACUUGCUCGUGGAGCUGAAAUCAGUCGAAGAUACCAGCUGGCUGCAACUGUUUAUUAAAAACACAGCACUGUGCAAACACGAAAGUGGACGUAUACGGUGUGACGCCUGCCCGGUGCCGGAAGGUUAAUUGAUGGGGUCAGCGCAAGCGAAGCUCUUGAUCGAAGCCCCGGUAAACGGCGGCCGUAACUAUAACGGUCCUAAGGUAGCGAAAUUCCUUGUCGGGUAAGUUCCGACCUGCACGAAUGGCGUAAUGAUGGCCAGGCUGUCUCCACCCGAGACUCAGUGAAAUUGAACUCGCUGUGAAGAUGCAGUGUACCCGCGGCAAGACGGAAAGACCCCGUGAACCUUUACUAUAGCUUGACACUGAACAUUGAGCCUUGAUGUGUAGGAUAGGUGGGAGGCUUUGAAGUGUGGACGCCAGUCUGCAUGGAGCCGACCUUGAAAUACCACCCUUUAAUGUUUGAUGUUCUAACGUUGACCCGUAAUCCGGGUUGCGGACAGUGUCUGGUGGGUAGUUUGACUGGGGCGGUCUCCUCCUAAAGAGUAACGGAGGAGCACGAAGGUUGGCUAAUCCUGGUCGGACAUCAGGAGGUUAGUGCAAUGGCAUAAGCCAGCUUGACUGCGAGCGUGACGGCGCGAGCAGGUGCGAAAGCAGGUCAUAGUGAUCCGGUGGUUCUGAAUGGAAGGGCCAUCGCUCAACGGAUAAAAGGUACUCCGGGGAUAACAGGCUGAUACCGCCCAAGAGUUCAUAUCGACGGCGGUGUUUGGCACCUCGAUGUCGGCUCAUCACAUCCUGGGGCUGAAGUAGGUCCCAAGGGUAUGGCUGUUCGCCAUUUAAAGUGGUACGCGAGCUGGGUUUAGAACGUCGUGAGACAGUUCGGUCCCUAUCUGCCGUGGGCGCUGGAGAACUGAGGGGGGCUGCUCCUAGUACGAGAGGACCGGAGUGGACGCAUCACUGGUGUUCGGGUUGUCAUGCCAAUGGCACUGCCCGGUAGCUAAAUGCGGAAGAGAUAAGUGCUGAAAGCAUCUAAGCACGAAACUUGCCCCGAGAUGAGUUCUCCCUGACUCCUUGAGAGUCCUGAAGGAACGUUGAAGACGACGACGUUGAUAGGCCGGGUGUGUAAGCGCAGCGAUGCGUUGAGCUAACCGGUACUAAUGAACCGUGAGGCUUAACCUUACAACGCCGAAGGUGUUU
rnacentral:rRNA from 1 species